rnacentral:ncRNA from 1 species
CUUCUAUCAGGGCAAACUGUCUGUAAGGGCAGGGCGCAAAGCCAUGGAGCUUUUCCCCAGAUUCCCUCCCGUUCGACGGAUGUUAGGGUGGGGGAACACAUAAGCCAGCCGGGCUGCCGAG